rnacentral:tRNA from 1 species
AAGAAGGUGGUGUAAAAAACAUAUUCACUUUGGGUGUGAAAGAAGGGUCUAUCCCUCUUCUUA